GUUGAAUUUAGAUUCCUGUUAAACCGUUUGAGAAUGAUUGAUAUCUUUUGAAACUUUUGCUUUGACAAAUCUGAUUGGGGGAGAGAUGGAGCAUUUGUUUUACCGCUCCGGGUGACACUAAAUCUAGCGACGCCUCCGGAUAUAAACUCUGGUUUGACAAAUCAAUGAUUCAAUGACAGCACGCAAAGUUCCUUUUUGUAAUUUCAAAGGUAUACAACAUUUAAAAACAUAACAGAAGUACACACCGCCCAUUCCUUUCACUAGAUCAAACUCUUUUUCACCAAUCGCUGGUCAAUUGUAGCAUUAAAUUUGACCUGAUACAUAUUUUUGUACACACUUGACAAGCUAUGUGAUAUGUAAAGAAUUUUUUAAAGUACUUUUUAAUUAAUUGACAUCUGUUAAGAUUGCAUUACAGAGAUUCAAUGUAUCUAUCUAUCUAUCUAACGUUCUGUAUGUCUGUCUGUCUGUCUAUCUAUCCAUCCAUCCAUCCAUCCAUCCAUCCAUCCAUCCAUCUAUC